GACGAACGCUGGCGGCGUGCUUAACACAUGCAAGUCGAACGAAGAGCGAUGGAAGCUUGCUUCUAUCAAUCUUAGUGGCGAACGGGUGAGUAACGCGUAAUCAACCUGCCCUUCAGAGGGGGACAACAGUUGGAAACGACUGCUAAUACCGCAUACGAUCUAACCUCGGCAUCGAGGAAAGAUGAAAGGUGGCCUCUAUGUAUAAGCUAUCACUGAAGGAGGGGAUUGAGUCUGAUUAGCUAGUUGGAGGGGUAACGGCCCACCAAGGCGAUGAUCAGUAGCCGGUCUGAGAGGAUGAACGGCCACAUUGGGACUGAGACACGGCCCAGACUCCUACGGGAGGCAGCAGUGGGGAAUCUUCCGCAAUGGACGAAAGUCUGACGGAGCAACGCCGCGUGAGUGAUGACGGCCUUCGGGUUGUAAAGCUCUGUUAAUCGGGACGAAAGGCCUUCUUGCGAAUAGUGAGAAGGAUUGACGGUACCGGAAUAGAAAGCCACGGCUAACUACGUG
rnacentral:rRNA from 1 species